rnacentral:rRNA from 1 species
UACGGAGGGUGCGAGCGUUGUCCGGAAUCACUGGGCGUAAAGGGCGCGUAGGCGGCGAGGAUAGUCAACGGUGAAAGCUUGGGGCUCAACCCCGAGUCGGCCGUCGAUACUUCCUUGCUUGAGCACUGUAGAGGCAGAUGGAAUUCCGGGUGUAGCGGUGGAAUGCGUAGAGAUCCGGAAGAACACCGGUGGCGAAAGCGCUCUACUGGACUGCAACUGACACUCAGGGACGAAAGCUAGGGGAGCGAAUGGG